UCAAGAUGGAUGGCCUGUGUUGAACGAAUGUUGUCUUCCAACUAGAGUCCCUUCCAACAACUUAACGUUUUAAAUAUGUAAUGUAUGAUAUAAGUCCCACAAUAUCUGAACCAAAUAUACGUAUUGGAGAGUAGGGACUCUGACAUACAGGCUCUCAUCUAAGUAUUGCGCCUAGGCAUCGAAAGAAAGAUGUUGUCUUCGUGCUUCGUCGCCUCGCCAUGUGAUUCCAAUGUCUGGAUUCAAAAUAUUAAACAAUCCUUGCUUUUAAGUUUGAUCCAGUUUGCACAAUUGGAUGAAAAAUAACUUCUGGAUCAAGAAGUGUUUCAUCGGAAUUUAUUUAGAGGGCAAUAUUUUGGAUAAGUUACUGAACUAAAGGAUCCAAAAGGAAUAAAGAUUUGGAAAAAGUGAUUCAACCAAGUUUUGAAAAAUUUGACCAUAAUUUCUCUUCUGAAAAAGUUUAUUUGUAAUUAUGUUGUUAUUUAACUUGUAAUUAGUGUAAAAUAAACCUUUUUGA